UUGAAGCAUGAUCGUAAGGACAUGUGGAGCGCUUAGAAGUGAGAAUGCCGGUGUGAGUAGCGAAAGACGGGUGAGAAUCCCGUCCACCGAUUGACUAAGGUUUCCAGAGGAAGGCUCGUCCGCUCUGGGUUAGUCGGGUCCUAAGCUGAGGCCGACAGGCGUAGGCGAUGGAUAACAGGUUGAUAUUCCUGUACCACCUAUAAUCGUUUUAAUCGAUGGGGGGACGCAGUAGGAUAGGCGAAGCGUGCGAUUGGAUUGCACGUCUAAGCAGUAAGGCUGAGUAUUAGGCAAAUCCGGUACUCAUUAAGGCUGAGCUGUGAUGGGGAGAAGACAUUGUGUCUUCGAGUCGUUGAUUUCACACUGCCGAGAAAAGCCUCUAGAUAGAAAAUAGGUGCCCGUACCGCAAACCGACACAGGUAGUCAAGAUGAGAAUUCUAAGGUGAGCGAGCGAACUCUCGUUAAGGAACUCGGCAAAAUGACCCCGUAACUUCGGGAGAAGGGGUGCUCUUUAGGGUUAACGCCCAGAAGAGCCGCAGUGAAUAGGCCCAAGCGACUGUUUAUCAAAAACACAGGUCUCUGCUAAACCGUAAGGUGAUGUAUAGGGGCUGACGCCUGCCCGGUGCUGGAAGGUUAAGAGGAGUGGUUAGCUUCUGCGAAGCUACGAAUCGAAGCCCCAGUAAACGGCGGCCGUAACUAUAACGGUCCUAAGGUAGCGAAAUUCCUUGUCGGGUAAGUUCCGACCCGCACGAAAGGCGUAACGAUUUGGGCACUGUCUCAACGAGAGACUCGGUGAAAUCAUAGUACCUGUGAAGAUGCAGGUUACCCGCGACAGGACGGAAAGACCCCGUGGAGCUUUACUGUAGCCUGAUAUUGAAAUUCGGCACAGCUUGUACAGGAUAGGUAGGAGCCUUUGAAACGUGAGCGCUAGCUUACGUGGAGGCGCUGGUGGGAUACUACCCUAGCUGUGUUGGCUUUCUAACCCGCACCACUUAUCGUGGUGGGAGACAGUGUCAGGCGGGCAGUUUGACUGGGGCGGUCGCCUCCUAAAAGGUAACGGAGGCGCUCAAAGGUUCCCUCAGAAUGGUUGGAAAUCAUUCAUAGAGUGUAAAGGCAUAAGGGAGCUUGACUGCGAGACCUACAAGUCGAGCAGGGUCGAAAGACGGACUUAGUGAUCCGGUGGUUCCGCAUGGAAGGGCCAUCGCUCAACGGAUAAAAGCUACCCCGGGGAUAACAGGCUUAUCUCCCCCAAGAGUUCACAUCGACGGGGAGGUUUGGCACCUCGAUGUCGGCUCAUCGCAUCCUGGGGCUGUAGUCGGUCCCAAGGGUUGGGCUGUUCGCCCAUUAAAGCGGUACGCGAGCUGGGUUCAGAACGUCGUGAGACAGUUCGGUCCCUAUCCGUCGUGGGCGUAGGAAAUUUGAGAGGAGCUGUCCUUAGUACGAGAGGACCGGGAUGGACAUACCUCUGGUGUACCAGUUGUCGUGCCAACGGCAUAGCUGGGUAGCUAUGUGUGGACGGGAUAAGUGCUGAAAGCAUCUAAGCAUGAAGCCCCCCCUCAAGAUGAGAUUUCCCAACUUCGGUUAUAAGAUCCCUCAAAGAUGAUGAGGUUAAUAGGUUCGAGGUGGAAGCAUGGUGACAUGUGGAGCUGACGAAUACUAAUCGAUCGAAGACUUAAUCAA
rnacentral:rRNA from 1 species